rnacentral:lncRNA from 13 species
UGCUCUAAAGCUCUCCGUUACUGGAAAAAAGGAUUUCCACUCAAUUAAAUCAUGAAGCAGAAGAUUAUGCAGUUUGAGUCUCAAGAUAUAAAAGGUUUGAAGAGAUUGCAUAUAGGCCCAACUUAAACUCCUGCCUGCAGUCCUGUAUGUGUGACUCCUUUCUCAUCUUCAACCUGUGUUCCUCCAUCUGGCAUAAAUGAGACAGUGCCAAAAAGCGCAGAAUAAGUAGGUUUCAGCUCCCCAGGAGUAGGAGUUAUAUAAGGACUUGGGAUGCAAUGUGAAGGAAGAACAUUAUUCUAUGUUAAUGCUUACAAGCAUUAUGGAGUCUACUGCAAAAUUUUCAAAAGGUAAAACAUAAGACUUAAAGUAAAUUCUUAUUUGCAGAUGACUGCUCCAGGUUAACACCCUCCGGCUCCUCUGGAAACCAGGUCAACUGCCCUAUGGAAGUACUGUCUAGCACCCAACAGAUGCCCAAAACUCCCCACCUGCCAAGCUCUGCAUGCUCUUUUGAAGCCCCUGGCUUCAAUGAGAACUUCCUCUAUUCAUGUUUUCAAAUGGAGUCCCGCUCUGUCAGCCAGGCUGGAGUUCAGUUCAGUGGCACGAUCAUAGCUCACUGCUUCCCUGAACUCCUGGGGUUCAAUCGAUCCUCCUGCUUUAGCCACCCAAGUAGCUGGGACAACAGGUUUGCAUCACCAUGUCUUGCUUAUUUUUCUUAAUUUUUGUAGAGCUAGGAUCUUGUUAUGUUGCCCAUGCUGGUCUUGAACUCCUAACCUCAAGCCAUCUUCCCACCUCAGCCUCCGAAAGUGCUAGGAUUAUAGUGAUGAACCACCAUGUCUGGCUUUUUAAAAAAAAAAAUAAUAAUAAAAAUAUUCUUUCAUCACCA